GGGGAAGCUGAUUCCAGUGGCCGAGGCGACUCACCGUUUUCUUGGCACCUGCGGCAGCUGCAACAGCAGGAACAGCCACUUUCACAGCUUGUCAGAAGGCAGGUUGGAGCCAGUUGGAGCAUACAGUGUGCAGCUUUUGUAAUGCAACAUUCCAGGUUACUAAAGGGAUUCCGUCCCCUGGGGCAGAGCCUGAGCAUCAUGAAGGCAAACAUUUACCAAGCCCCUACUAUUUACUGGACUCUGUGUUCUGGUGCUAAAGAGACAGAGAAGAGGACCAAAGAUCUCUGUUCUGGAAGAGCAACUAAGAUGGCGGCAUAGGUAAACACCGGGAAAUUAUCGCCUCACACAACAAUUGAAAAUUACCGCAAAGGA